GUGACAACCCGAGAAUUUGGAUAAUUUAUUAAAAUCUUAAAUGAUUGAUUUAAGGUCAAAUAUUAGACCUAGACAUAAAAUUAGUGUAUGCGUUUGAUGUUAUUAGGAUGGAAUUUUGAGGAUUUCAAAAUUUCGUGAAGGCUUAUAGGUGAAUUAUUCAGGAUUAAGGAUUUUUGUGAUUAAGUUCUGUGUAUAUGGUUAAUGAUGUGUUCAGAAUGUGGUUAAGGGUCAAGGGUUGACCAGAUAAAUUAUAUCUGUAACAAACCCUAAGAAUAUAUUAAGAACAACAACGUUCAGUUAGAAAACCCUAACGUCUGAUAAGAAACCCUAGAAAUCGGUUCUGGAAACCCUAGUUUCAGUUCCGGGAAUCCGAAAUCCUACAUCGGUGCAUGAAACCCUAAAUCGGGAACUU
rnacentral:lncRNA from 1 species